rnacentral:rRNA from 1 species
UAACGUUCCCGGGUCUUGUACACACCGCCCGUCACACCAUGGGAGCGGGUUUUACCAGAAGUAGGUAGCUUAACCGUAAGGAGGGCGCUUACCACGGUAGGAUUCGUGACUGGGGUG